CAAAUGUAUAAUUGAAGAUGCUGAUUGCAAUUUUUGGCAAACUGGCAGAGAGAAAUGAAUUCCCUUUUAUGGGCGCCAUUGGUUGGCCUGACUUGUUUACGGUCAACAGGGUAAGCUACAAAUGUGGCGGCGCUUUAAUCGAUCGAAGACAUUUGCUGACAGCUGCGCACUGUCUUUUUCAUUCAAACCGGUUUAGCAUCGGACACUUUAAUGAAGACGAACCUUACCAUUCUGACUAAUGAAGCAUGUGGUAAA